GGAUAGCUCAGGUGGCUAGAGCAUGGUGCUGAUAACGCCAAGGCCGCAGGUUCAAUUCCCAUAUGGGACA